rnacentral:rRNA from 1 species
UACAGAGGUGGCAAGCGUUGUUCGGAAUUACUGGGCGUAAAGGGCGCGUAGGCGGUCCUGUAAGUCCCGCGUGAAAUCCCCCGGCUCAACUGGGGAACUGCGCGGGAAACUGUGGGGCUUGAGUUCGGGAGAGGGAAGCGGAAUUCCGGGUGUAGCGGUGAAAUGCGUAGAUAUCCGGAGGAACACCGGUGGCGAAGGCGGCAUCCUGGACCGACAUUGACGCUGAGGCGCGAAAGCCAGGGGAGCAAACGGG